UCCGCGCCCACCUGACAGCUGCUCGCUACGUUUUGUUAG
rnacentral:sRNA from 2 species